rnacentral:rRNA from 1 species
AUUGAACGCUGGCGGCAGGCCUAACACAUGCAAGUCGAACGAGCGGCGGACGGGUGAGUAAUGUCUGGGAAACUGCCCGAUGGAGGGGGAUAACUACUGGAAACGGUAGCUAAUACCGCAUACCAUCGGAUGUGCCCAUAUGGGAUUAGCUAGUAGUUGGGGUAAAGGCUCACCUAGGCGACGAUCCCUAGCUGGUCUGAGAGGAUGACCAGCCACACUGGAACUGAGACACGGACCAGACUCCUACGGGAGGCAGCAGUGGGGAAUAUUGCACAAUGGGCGCAAGCCUGAUACAGCCAUGCCGCGUGUAUGAAGAAGGCCUUCGGGUUGUAAAGUACUUUCAGCGAGGAGGCGUUACUCGCAGAAGAAGCACCGGCUAACUCCGUGCCAGCAGCCGCGGUAAUAC